AUUUCCCCUUGUGUAAUAAUCUCCCUUCUUGUGAAUUUCUUUUCGGCAGGAGUGACACUCUUUGUGGCCCUUUAUGACUAUGAAGCACGGACAGAAGAUGACCUGAGUUUUCACAAAGGAGAAAAAUUUCAAAUAUUGAACAGCUCGGAAGGAGAUUGGUGGGAAGCCCGCUCCUUGACAACUGGAGAGACAGGUUACAUUCCCAGCAAUUAUGUGGCUCCGGUUGACUCUAUCCAGGCAGAAGAGUGGUACUUUGGAAAACUUGGCCGAAAAGAUGCUGAGCGACAGCUAUUGUCCUUUGGAAACCCAAGAGGUACCUUUCUUAUCCGUGAGAGUGAAACCACCAAAGGUGCCUAUUCACUUUCCAUCCGUGAUUGGGAUGAUAUGAAAGGAGACCAUGUCAAACAUUAUAAAAUUCGCAAACUUGACAAUGGUGGAUACUACAUUACCACCCGGGCCCAGUUUGAAACACUUCAGCAGCUUGUACAACAUUACUCAGAGAGAGCUGCAGGUCUCUGCUGCCGCCUAGUAGUUCCCUGUCACAAAGGGAUGCCAAGGCUUACCGAUCUGUCUGUCAAAACCAAAGAUGUCUGGGAAAUCCCUCGAGAAUCCCUGCAGUUGAUCAAGAGACUGGGAAAUGGGCAGUUUGGGGAAGUAUGGAUGGGUACCUGGAAUGGAAACACAAAAGUAGCCAUAAAGACUCUUAAACCAGGCACAAUGUCCCCCGAAUCAUUCCUUGAGGAAGCGCAGAUCAUGAAGAAGCUGAAGCACGACAAGCUGGUCCAGCUCUACGCAGUGGUGUCUGAGGAGCCCAUCUACAUCGUCACCGAGUAUAUGAA
rnacentral:sRNA from 1 species